AGAAUUUCACAGAGCUCUCCUGCUACAAUUAUGGAUCAGGUUCAGUCAAGAAUUGUUGUCCAUUGAACUGGGAAUAUUUUCAAUCCAGCUGCUACUUCUUUUCUACUGACACCAUUUCCUGGGCGUUAAGUUUAAAGAACUGCUCAGCCAUGGGGGCUCACCUGGUGGUUAUCAACUCACAGGAGGAGCAGCUUCUGGGAUGUAGGGGAGCCCAACAACAUAGCUACCCUGGAGGACUGUGCCACCAUGAGAGACUCUUCAAACCCAAGGCAAAAUUGGAAUGAUGUAACCUGUUUCCUCAAUUAUUUUCGGAUUUGUGAAAUGGUAGGAAUAAAUCCUUUGAACAAAGGAAAAUCUCUUUAAGAACAGAAGGCACAACUCAAAUGUGUAAAGAAGGAAGAGCAAGAACAUGGCCACACC
rnacentral:lncRNA from 1 species